CAAAUUAGAGCUUGAUAAAGCAUUUCAUUUACAUUGAAAAGAUAUUAAUUUUUUAUUUAAUUUGA
rnacentral:tRNA from 1 species